rnacentral:tRNA from 1 species
AGUAGUUAGUUUAAAUAAAACAAUUGAUUUCGGCUCAUUAAACUAUGAUUCAACUCAUAACUACUAU